GACGAACGCUGGCGGCGCGCCUAACACAUGCAAGUCGAACGAGAGAUGAGGAGCUUUGCUCUUCAAAUCGAGUGGCGAACGGGUGAGUAACGCGUGAGGAACCUGCCUCAAAGAGGGGGACAACAGUUGGAAACGACUGCUAAUACCGCAUAAGCCCACGGCUCGGCAUCGAGCAGAGGGAAAAGGAGCAAUCCGCUUUGAGAUGGCCUCGCGUCCGAUUAGCUAGUUGGUGAGGUAACGGCCCACCAAGGCGACGAUCGGUAGCCGGACUGAGAGGUUGAACGGCCACAUUGGGACUGAGACACGGCCCAGACUCCUACGGGAGGCAGCAGUGGGGAAUAUUGCACAAUGGGGGAAACCCUGAUGCAGCGACGCCGCGUGGAGGAAGAAGGUCUUCGGAUUGUAAACUCCUGUUGUUGAGGAAGAUAAUGACGGUACUCAACAAGGAAGUGACGGCUAACUACGUGCCAGCAGCCGCGGUAAAACGUAGGUCACAAGCGUUGUCCGGAAUUACUGGGUGUAAAGGGAGCGCAGGCGGGAGAACAAGUUGGAAGUGAAAUCCAUGGGCUCAACCCAUGAACUGCUUUCAAAACUGUUUUUCUUGAGUAGUGCAGAGGUAGGCGGAAUUCCCGGUGUAGCGGUGGAAUGCGUAGAUAUCGGGAGGAACACCAGUGGCGAAGGCGGCCUACUGGGCACCAACUGACGCUGAGGCUCGAAAGUGUGGGUAGCAAACAGGAUUAGAUACCCUGGUAGUCCACACCGUAAACGAUGAUUACUAGGUGUUGGAGGAUUGACCCCUUCAGUGCCGCAGUUAACACAAUAAGUAAUCCACCUGGGGAGUACGACCGCAAGGUUGAAACUCAAAGGAAUUGACGGGGGCCCGCACAAGCAGUGGAGUAUGUGGUUUAAUUCGACGCAACGCGAAGAACCUUACCAAGUCUUGACAUCCCUUGACGAUGCUGGAAACAGUAUUUCUCUUCGGAGCAAGGAGACAGGUGGUGCAUGGUUGUCGUCAGCUCGUGUCGUGAGAUGUUGGGUUAAGUCCCGCAACGAGCGCAACCCUUAUGGUCAGUUACUACGCAAGAGGACUCUGGCCAGACUGCCGUUGACAAAACGGAGGAAGGUGGGGAUGACGUCAAAUCAUCAUGCCCUUUAUGACUUGGGCUACACACGUACUACAAUGGCGUUAAACAAAGAGAAGCAAGACCGCGAGGUGGAGCAAAACUCAGAAACAACGUCCCAGUUCGGACUGCAGGCUGCAACUCGCCUGCACGAAGUCGGAAUUGCUAGUAAUCGUGGAUCAGCAUGCCACGGUGAAUACGUUCCCGGGCCU
rnacentral:rRNA from 1 species